CNGGCGGUUAGAUAAGUCUGAAGUUAAAGGCUGUGGCUUAACCAUAGUAUGCUUUGGAAACUGUUUAACUNGAGUGCAGAAGGGGAGAGUGGAAUUCCAUGUGUAGCGGUGAAAUGCGUAGAUAUAUGGAGGAACACCGGUGGCGAAAGCGGCUCUCUGGUCUGUAACUGACGCUGGGGCUCGAAAGCGUGGGGAGCAAACAGGAUUAGAUACCCNUGGUAGUCCACGCCGUAAACGAUGAGUGCUAGGUGUUAGGCCCUUUCCGGGGCUUAGUGCCGCAGCUAACGCAUUAAGCACUCCGCCUGGGGAGUACGACCGCAAGGUUGAAACUCAAAGGAAUUGACGGGGGCCCGCACAAGCGGUGGAGCAUGUGGUUUAAUUCGAAGCAACGCGAAGAACCUUACCAGGUCUUGACAUCCCUCUGACCGCUCUAGAGAUAGAGUUUUCCUUCGGGACAGAGGUGACAGGUGGUGCAUGGUUGUCGUCAACUCGUGUCGUGAGAUGUUGGGUUAAGUNNNNCANCGAGCGCAACCCCUAUUGUUAGUUGCCAUCAUUGAGUUGGGCACUCUAGCGAGACUGCCGGUAAUAAACCGGAGGAAGGUGGGGAUGACGUCAAAUCAUCAUGCCCCUUAUGACCUGGGCUACACACGUGCUACAAUGGCUGGUACAACGAGUCGCAAGCCGGUGACGGCAAGCUAAUCUCUGAAAGCCAGUCUCAGUUCGGAUUGUAGGCUGCAACUCGCCUACAUGAAGUCGGAAUCGCUAGUAAUCGCGGAUCAGCACGCCGCGGUGAAUACGUUCCCGGGCCUU
rnacentral:rRNA from 1 species